GAUGAACGCUGGCGGCGUGCCUAAUACAUGCAAGUCGAGCGAACAGAUGAGGAGCUUGCUCCUCUGACGUUAGCGGCGGACGGGUGAGUAACACGUGGAUAACCUACCUAUAAGACUGGGAUAACUUCGGGAAACCGGAGCUAAUACCGGAUAAUAUAUUGAACCGCAUGGUUCAAUAGUGAAAGACGGUUUUGCUGUCACUUAUAGAUGGAUCCGCGCCGCAUUAGCUAGUUGGUAAGGUAACGGCUUACCAAGGCAACGAUGCGUAGCCGACCUGAGAGGGUGAUCGGCCACACUGGAACUGAGACACGGUCCAGACUCCUACGGGAGGCCGCAGUAGGGAAUCUUCCGCAAUGGGCGAAAGCCUGACGGUGCAACGCCGCGUGAGUGAUGAAGGUCUUCGGAUCGUAAAACUCUGUUAUUAGGGAAGAACAAAUGUGUAAGUAACUAUGAACGUCUUGACGGUACCUAAUCAGAAAGCCACGGGUAACUACGUG
rnacentral:rRNA from 1 species